AGCGAACGCUGGCGGAAUGCUUAACACAUGCAAGUCGCGCGGGUGGUUUCGGCCAUUAGUGGCGGACGGGUGAGUAACGCGUAGGAACGUGUCCUGGGAUGGGGGAUAACGCUGGGAAACUGGCGCUAAUACCGCAUAUCUCCUGAGGGAGAAAGCCGCGAGGCGUCUUGGGAGCGGCCUGCGUCCGAUUAGCUUGUUGGUUAGGUAAUGGCUGACCAAGGCGAUGAUCGGUAGCUGGUCUGAGAGGAUGAUCAGCCACACUGGGACUGAGACACGGCCCAGACUCCUACGGGAGGCAGCAGUGGGGAAUAUUGGACAAUGGGCGCAAGCCUGAUCCAGCAAUUCCGCGUGGGUGAAGAAGGUCUUCGGAUUGUAAAGCCCUUUCGGCGGGGACGAUGAUGACGGUACCCGCAGAAGAAGCCCCGGCUAACUUCGUGCCAGCAGCCGCCGUAACAC
rnacentral:rRNA from 1 species